rnacentral:rRNA from 1 species
AGAGUUUGAUCCUGGCUCAGGAUGAACGCUAGCGGCAGGCCUAACACAUGCAAGUCGAGGGGCAGCACGUUAAAGAGUUUACUCUUUAUGGUGGCGACCGGCGGACGGGUGCGUAACGCGUAUGCAACCUGCCUGACACAGGGGGAUAAUCCGAAGAAAUUUGGUCUAAUACCCCAUAAUACCGAUAUAGGCAUCUAUGUUGGUUGAAAGCUUUGGUGGUGUCAGAUGGGCAUGCGUUGUAUUAGCUAGUUGGUGAGGUAACGGCUCACCAAGGCGACGAUACAUAGGGGGACUGAGAGGUUAACCCCCCACACUGGUACUGAGACACGGACCAGACUCCUACGGGAGGCAGCAGUGAGGAAUAUUGGUCAAUGGGCGGAAGCCUGAACCAGCCAUGCCGCGUGCAGGAAGACGGCUCUAUGAGUUGUAAACUGCUUUUGUACUAGGGUAAUUUGCGGUACGUGUACCGUAUUGAAAGUAUAGUACGAAUAAGGAUCGGCUAACUCCGUGCCAGCAGCCGCGGUAAUACGGAGGAUCCAAGCGUUAUCCGGAUUUAUUGGGUUUAAAGGGUGCGUAGGCGGUUUGAUAAGUUAGAGGUGAAAUCCCGGGGCUUAACUCCGGAACUGCCUCUAAUACUGUUAGACUAGAGAGUAGUUGCGGUAGGCGGAAUGUAUGGUGUAGCGGUGAAAUGCUUAGAGAUCAUACAGAACACCGAUUGCGAAGGCAGCUUACCAAACUAUAUCUGACGUUGAGGCACGAAAGCGUGGGGAGCAAACAGGAUUAGAUACCCUGGUAGUCCACGCAGUAAACGAUGAUAACUCGUUGUCGGCGAUAUACAGUCGGUGACCAAGCGAAAGCGAUAAGUUAUCCACCUGGGGAGUACGUUCGCAAGAAUGAAACUCAAAGGAAUUGACGGGGGCCCGCACAAGCGGAGGAACAUGUG